UACGGGGGGGGUAAGCGUUGUUCGGAAUUACUGGGCGUAAAGGGCUCGUAGGCGGCCAACUAAGUCGGACGUGAAAUCCCUCAGCUUAACUGGGGAACUGCGUCUGAUACUGGAUGGCUUGGAUUUGGGAGAGGGAUGCGGAAUUCCAGGUGUAGCGGUGAAAUGCGUAGAUAUCUGGAGGAAUACCGGUGGCGAAGGCGGCAUCCUGGACCGGCAUUGACGCUGAGGAGCGAAAGCGUGGGGAGCGAACAGG
rnacentral:rRNA from 1 species